CACAUUUAUUUUAAAAAUAAAUUGCACCUAAGCAUCAAUCUAAGUUAAAUUAGAAAAAAAAAAAAUAAUCAGAAGAACCCUUGAUUCUCCUGUACACUUCAAAGAGCCAUUUCUAUCAUCCUGUGUGUACCUGGACAUACAAACAUUUUAAUUAAUAAUUUCCUAUUGAGAUAGGACAUAGCUUUUCUAGAAAUCCAUCAACAUCUAAAGGUGGAGAACUCUACCAAUUCGGUAGGUCAUUUUUACUCUGCAGAUGUCAACAGAGCAAUGGAAUCCCAGUAAAUCACUGAAAAUUAAUGGAUAUGAUGCCAGAAUGAGAUUUUCAAACAAUUAAAAAAAAUGGAAAUAGCAAUUACUGCAGUAAAUGCACCUUCCAUCACACACACACAGCCAGGUGUGCGCAUUUGUAACACUAUAGUGCAGGACAGUUCAUAAAGUAGUGUGACUGAUGGCUUAUUCUUUCCAAUGUUCACAUUUUGAAGAAAUAUUUUGUAAAUAUGAGACAUUUCAAUUGAAAAAAAAAAUAUAUAUCCUUUUGUUUGUUUUUCAGUUCAUGCUUCUAUAACAUUUCCUUACGUCCCUUCCCACUACUAAGACUCUCCAGGCUGCUGGGACUUACAGCAUUACUGCAUAAUGCUGACUAUUUUAAGAAUUCAGUACAAAACAGCUCCGUUUAGAUUUAACUACAAAAGCAAGUGGUUAGAGGGAGCUCAACAUCUGCAGGAGCAGGAACCAAGAGGAAAUUUUUAAUGGUACUUUUUGGUAGAGGGUACAAGGAAGGCAAUGAUCCCAUCCUCUAUUCCCUCAACCUCUAGCUGCCUCUGUCUCUUAGCUCCCAAAGACUAGCUCUCAAAUCAAUAGCUUUCUGUUUGUUUUUAAUGGUAACACAUUAACUGUGCACAAUGGCAAGUUAAUCAUCAAAUCGUUUAUUUUCAGAGGAGUGAGGACUACGGGUAACACUGCUCCAAACCUGCUGCUUUCCUAAAACACACCUCUAACUUACAGCACAAUCACUUCACAUGUAAAUAAGAAGAUUGGGAAUUUGUAGCAACCAAAUUUUGCUGCAGUCUGGAGCAUAAGAUGAUGCACUGCCUGAUUCAGGUAUUUUAUUCAUGUCACACGAAGAAGUGAUCCAAGUGUUUUGUAGUCCAUGCAGGGACGACGAGAACUCUCAUUCUGCCAAAAGAGAGCACCAAAAGAUGCAUUUGCAAAUAGGAAGCCAGCAAGUGUCAACAGCAGGCAAUCACCCAGCCUUGGAAUCUGUUCUGUUCUGGCACAGCGCGAUCACGAUGCGUGACAUGAAGGAUAUUCCCAGCCUGUGCUAAAGGGGGAGCGAGCUGUGAUCAUUAUCAGAAGUAAAAGAAGUCAUGCUGAUUUGCAUCUGCAUUUGCUUUGCAAAGCUUCACGUAAUAGUAGGGUGCCAAGGCAGAAUGGAAACUCUACAUUAAAUUCUACAUGAAAACAUUA